GUCCCCUUCGUCACAGAGGCGGGACACCGCCCUUUCACGGCGGUAACAGGGGUUCGAAUCCCCUGGGGACGCCA
rnacentral:tRNA from 1 species